AGAGUUUGAUCCUGGCUCAGAACGAACGCUGGCGGCGUGGAUAAGACAUGCAAGUCGAACGAGAGAAUUGCUAGCUUGCUAAUAAUUCUCUAGUGGCGCACGGGUGAGUAACACGUGAGUAACCUGCCCCCGAGAGCGGGAUAGCCCUGGGAAACUGGGAUUAAUACCGCAUAGUAUCGAAAGAUUAAAGCAGCAAUGCGCUUGGGGAUGGGCUCGCGGCCUAUUAGUUAGUUGGUGAGGUAACGGCUCACCAAGGCGAUGACGGGUAGCCGGUCUGAGAGGAUGUCCGGCCACACUGGAACUGAGACACGGUCCAGACACCUACGGGUGGCAGCAGUCGAGAAUCAUUCACAAUGGGGGAAACCCUGAUGGUGCGACGCCGCGUGGGGGAAUGAAGGUCUUCGGAUUGUAAACCCCUGUCAUGUGGGAGCAAAUUAAAAAGAUAGUACCACAAGAGGAAGAGACGGCUAACUCUGUGCCAGCAGCCGCGGUAAUACAGAGGUCUCAAGCGUUGUUCGGAAUCACUGGGCGUAAAGCGUGCGUAGGCUGUUUCGUAAGUCGUGUGUGAAAGGCGCGGGCUCAACCCGCGGACGGCACAUGAUACUGCGAGACUAGAGUAAUGGAGGGGGAACCGGAAUUCUUGGUGUAGCAGUGAAAUGCGUAGAUAUCGAGAGGAACACUCGUGGCGAAGGCGGGUUCCUGGACAUUAACUGACGCUGAGGCACGAAGGCCAGGGGAGCGAAAGGGAUUAGAUACCCCUGUAGUCCUGGCAGUAAAACGGGUGCACGCUUGGUGUGCGGGGAAUCGACCCCCUGCGUGCCGGAGCUAACGCGUUAAGCGUGCCGCCUGGGGAGUACGGUCGCAAGAUUAAAACUCAAAGAAAUUGACGGGGACCCGCACAAGCGGUGGAGUAUGUGGCUUAAUUCGAUGCAACGCGAAGAACCUUACCUGGGCUUGACAUGUAAUGAACAACAUGUGAAAGCAUGCGACUCUUCGGAGGCGUUACACAGGUGCUGCAUGGCCGUCGUCAGCUCGUGUCGUGAGAUGUUUGGUUAAGUCCAGCAACGAGCGCAACCCCUGUUGCCAGUUACCAGCACGUGAAGGUGGGGACUCUGGCGAGACUGCCCAGAUCAACUGGGAGGAAGGUGGGGACGACGUCAGGUCAGUAUGGCCCUUAUGCCCAGGGCUGCACACGUACUACAAUGCCCAGUACAGAGGGGGCCGAAGCCGCGAGGCGGAGGAAAUCCUAAAAACUGGGCCCAGUUCGGACUGUAGGCUGCAACCCGCCUACACGAAGCCGGAAUCGCUAGUAAUGGCGCAUCAGCUACGGCGCCGUGAAUACGUUCCCGGGUCUUGCACUCACAGGCCGUCA
rnacentral:rRNA from 1 species